rnacentral:rRNA from 1 species
CCUACGGGAGGCAGCAGUGGGGAAUAUUGGGCAAUGGAGGAAACUCUGACCCAGCGACGCCGCGUGCGGGAUGAAGGCCUUCGGGUUGUAAACCGCUUUCAGCAGGGAAGAAGCGAAAGUGACGGUACCUGCAGAAGAAGCACCGGCUAACUAUGUGCCAGCAGCCGCGGUAAUACAUAGGGUGCAAGCGUUGUCCGGAAUUAUUGGGCGUAAAGAGCUCGUAGGUGGUUCGUCACGUCGGAUGUGAAAAUCUGGGGCUUAACCCCAGACCUGCAUUCGAUACGGGCGAGCUUGAGUAUGGUAGGGGAGUCUGGAAUUCCUGGUGUAGCGGUGGAAUGCGCAGAUAUCAGGAGGAACACCAAUGGCGAAGGCAGGACUCUGGGCCAUUACUGACACUGAGGAGCGAAAGCGUGGGGAGCGAACAGGAUUAGAUACCCUGGUAGUCCACGCCGUAAACGGUGGGCACUAGUUGUGGGGACCUUCCACGGUCUCUGCGACGCAGCUAACGCAUUAAGUGCCCCGCCUGGGGAGUACGAUCGCAAGNUUAAAACUCAAAGGAAAUUGACGGG